rnacentral:lncRNA from 10 species
UCUGUAAACAAUGAGUGAGUUUACCAUUCCAUCAUUCCAUCAGUAAUCAGCAGCAAUGCCCUUCUUUGGCAAGAGCUCUUUCCUCCCUACACCUUCCCUUGCUAUAAUACUAGACUAGGACUCAACAAGCGUAAGUGCAUCUUAAGGGUCAGUAUGUUAUGCAUUGUAAACUACGUUACAAAGCCACAACUAAAAAUACUACCAUGAGAUUUGAAUUUUAGGCUGGGAGAUUCCAUUCUCACCAUAAGCCUGUAAGAAAUAAAUUCCACUACUGUCCCCCUCGCACAGAUGGUAAAUGGAGCAGAGAGAAGGCAGGGCGCUGGGCCAGGCUUGCUUGGCUGGAAGGCUGUAGAGCUGGGAUUGGGAGCACAGCGUGUCUGGCUGGAGAGUCCCCACUCUUCUCUGCGACAUGGUUUAUCACAGUGGCUGUGCUGAUAUUUUAAGCCUGGCUGUUGUUAAUUUUUAUUGGGGACUGGUCCUGAAACGCCUCACCACUGAGGCUACUCAGUCAGCCCCAUUCUGCUGUCCUGUAGUUAGUUGAUCCUGCCCAACCUAUGGCAGAAUAGACAAAAGGUGUCCUAGGGAAAGGUCCCCAAAA